AUGCAUAGUGCUCGAAGUCUGACCUAAGGCUACUUAUUCUUCUUCUGGACUUAUUUAAAAGGAAAAUAUUGCAAAGAACAGAAAUGCCAUGACAUUUUUACACCCAUGUACAAUUCUCCAGAUAAUUUGAUUUUAAUACUGACCAGCCAGCGUUCUUUAACAUGCUCUGAAAUUCCCUGGUAACUGACUCCAGUGGGCAGAUUCAUUCAGUCUAUCAGAAGAAGAAGAAGGUGGGUCGUGUUGCUGGUUGUCAUUGGGCCCUGGACCUCCCAGGACCUCUCUUCUUCUGGCAGCUUGGGACAUAGAGCAGUGAGGCUGGAGCCAGGUGCAACUUCCAGAUGCAUAGAAGACAGAGCCAUUGGUACAUCUACUGCCACCAUAAUGCCUUAGACACGGUAUGGAAAGCUCGACAUCUCUGAAUCUUCAGAUCAUUUGAGACCUUGAAUAGACAGACACCUCUAUUUUGGGGCCAUCUGGUUCACAACGGGGCUAGUGACAAACUUUGUUAACUAGAAGUCAAGCCAUUUUUUGGGGCGCCUGGGUGGCUCGGUCGGUUAAGCGUCCGACUUCGGCUCAGGUCAUGAUCUCACGGUCCGUGGGUUCAAGCCCCACGUCGGGCUCUGUGCUGAUGGCUCAGAGCCUGGAGCCUGUUUCAGAUUCUGUGUCUCCCUCUCUCUGUGACCCUCCCCUGUUCAUGCUCUGUCUCUCUCUGUCUCAAAAAUAAAUAAACGUUAAAAAAAAAUUUUUUU